rnacentral:rRNA from 1 species
AGAGUUUGAUCCUGGCUCAGGACGAACGCUGGCGGCGUGCUUAACACAUGCAAGUCGAACGAGGUCCACUGAGUAGCAAUACAAGGGAAGACCUAGUGGCGAACGGGUGAGUAUCACGUGAGAAACCAACCCCGGUCUCUGGGAUAACAGUUGGAAACGACUGCUAAUACUGGAUGUCGUCGUACCCUCGCAUGGGGGGAUGACGAAAGGGUUACCGGAUCGGGACGGUCUCGCGGCCUAUCAGCUUGUUGGGGAGGUAACGGCUCACCAAGGCUUCGACGGGUAGCUGGUCUGAGAGGAUGAUCAGCCACACUGGGACUGAGACACGGCCCAGACUCCUACGGGAGGCAGCAGUGGGGAAUCUUGCGCAAUGGGCGAAAGCCUGACGCAGCAACGCCGCGUGCGGGAAGAAGGCUUUCGGGCUGUAAACCGCUUUCAGCAGGAACGAAAAUGGCGGUACCUGCAGAAGAAGGAGCGGCCAACUAUGUGCCAGCAGCCGCGGUGAUACAUAGGCUUCAAGCGUUGUCCGGAUUUAUUGGGCGUAAAGAGUUCGUAGGCGGUCGAGUAAGUCGGGUGUGAAAAUUCUGGGCUCAACCCAGAGACGCCACCCGAUACUGCUUAACUUGAGUUCGAUAGGGGAGUGGGGAAUUCCUAGUGUAGCGGUGAAAUGCGCAGAUAUUAGGAGGAACACCGGUGGCGAAGGCGCCACUCUGGAUCGACACUGACGCUGAGGAACGAAAGCAUGGGUAGCAAACAGGAUUAGA